UACGGAGGGGGCCAGCGUUGCUCGGAAUUAUUGGGCGUAAAGGGCGCGUAGGCGGCUUGGUAAGUUUGAUGUGAAAUCCCAUGGCUCAACCAUGGAACUGCAUCUCAUACUGCCGAGCUAGAGUCUGGGAGAGGGAAGCGGAAUUCCCGGUGUAGCGGUGAAAUGCGGUAGAUAUCGGGAGGAACACCAGUGGCGAAGGCGG
rnacentral:rRNA from 1 species